rnacentral:rRNA from 1 species
AUGCUCGUGUGUGAGCUAGCGUGCUUCUUUGUUGUGUCAUGGCAACCGAACACGAUAAAUUCUUUGUUGUGUGUGAGCUCAACGGCAAUGCAGUAUAGCGUCUGCAACUCCACCAUGAAAGACUGGCCAGUGUCGCCGCCUUUUCCCUGCGUUCUUCUCUUCCUGACGUUCUUGUUCGCUUCGUCUGUCGCGGAGCCGGUGGCCAUGCGCGCCGAUCUUACACACGUGGACAGCGGCCGCGGCUUCACCAAGCACGAGCUCCUCAGCCGGAUGGCCGCCCGGUCCAAGGUCCGCAUGGCGACCCUACGCUCGUCGGGCAGCGCCCCGGCGGUGACCGUGCCAGUAGCCCGGGGCGGCUUGGACGUGGGUUUUUCCGAGUACCUCGUCCACUUGGGCGUCGGCACGCCGCGCCCGCAGCGCGUGGCGCUGACGCUAGACACCGGCAGCGACCUCGUCUGGACGCAGUGCGCUUGCGCGGCCUGCUUCGACCAGCCGUUCCCGGUCCUCCGCGCCUCCGCCUCCAGCACCUUUCGCCGCGUCCCGUGCUCCGACCCUCUCUGCGGUCACGCCGUGUACCUCCCGGUCUCCGGGUGCGCCGCCAGAGACAGGUCCUGCUUAUACGCCUACGGCUACGGCGACAAUUCGGUCACCACUGGCAAGGUCGUCGAGGACACUUUCACAUUCAAUGCUCUCGGGGGCAAGAAGCACGCCGCCGUGGCCGUGCCCAACCUCCGGUUUGGCUGCGGCAUGCUCAACGUCGGCCUCUUCAAGUCGAACGAGUCCGGCAUCGCCGGCUUCGGGCGCGGCCCGUUGUCGCUGCCGUCGCAGCUCAAGGUCGGCAGGUUCUCCUACUGCUUCACGGCCAUCAUAGAGUCGAGGACCAGCCCGGUGUUCCUGGGCGGCAGGCCGGACAACCUUGAAGCUCAUGCCACGGGGCCCAUUCAGUCCACCCCGUUCGCCCCAGGCCCUGCGGGUGCGCCUGUGGGUAGCUCGCCAUUCUACUACCUUUCCCUCAGAGGAGUCACCGUCGGCAAGACGCGGCUGCCGUUCAACGCGUCGGCGUUCGCGCUCAAGGGCGAUGGCUCCGGCGGGACGAUCAUCGACUCCGGCACGGCCAUCACGACCUUCCCACAGGCCGUGUUCCAGAGCCUCCGUGAAGCGUUCGUGGCGCAAGUACAGCUACCUGUCGCCAACGGCUACACCGACGCCGACGGCAGGCUGUGCUUCUCCCUCCCGGCGAUGAAGAAGGCGCCCGCCGUGCCGAAGCUGAUCCUCCACCUGGAGGGUGCAGACUGGGACCUUCCACGGGACAACUACGUGCUGGAUAACGACGACGACGGCACCGGCGCGGGCAGGGAGCUGUGCGUGGUGAUAUCUUCGGCGGGCAAGAGCGACCAGACAACCAUCGGCAACUUCCAGCAGCAGAACACACACAUCGUCUACGACCUGGAGAGCGACAAGAUGGUCUUUGCGCCUGCGCGCUGCGACAAGCUCUGA